rnacentral:rRNA from 1 species
UACGAAGGGGGCAAGCGUUGCUCGGAUUUAUUGGGCGUAAAGGGUGUGUAGGCGGCUUUGUAAGUUAGAUGUGAAAUCCCAGGGCUUAGCCCUGGAACUGCAUUUAAGACUGCAUAGCUUGAAGUUCGAAGAGGUUAGCAGAAUUCCCAGUGUAGAGGUGAAAUUCGUAGAUAUUGGGAAGAAUACCAAUGGCGUAGGCAGCUAACUGGUCGACACUUGACGCUGAGGCACGAAAGCGUGGGGAGCAAACAGG